UUAGCCGUCGCAAAAAGAAAACAUUUUUGGAAAUGAUCUGUGCCAAAAGGCAUAUUUUACCCCCAUUUUUUAUUCCCUUCACUGACCCCAAUUUAUUUUGUCCUUUUGUUACACUCACCUAUGCCCUAAGCCCUUUCACUGUCAUUUUCACGACAUUGAUAAACAGAGAGGUCUCUCGCACUCUCUGUCUCUCUCGCUCUCUUUGCUCGCCAUGGUCGUAACUCUAGUGGUAGAGUUCUUCAUAUGCUUGGUAUUGACGAUCUUAGGUUACAUUCCUGGAAUAGUUUACGCUCUCUAUGCGAUGCUCUGUGUCGAUCGUGAUAUGACUCGCGCCGAUUACCGUCCACUCGCCUAGUCUCUUUGUGUGUGUGUGUGUGUGGAAAUCUGUGUGUGUUUAGCUGUAAUCUCAUGUGAUUGCUCAUGGAAUCAAUGCCGCAGAUGUGAAGAAACUUCAAGAUGUUGGGAUCUACACUUGCAAUGGCUUGAUGAUGCACAUGAAGAAGGAGGUGAAGUUAAUUUUUAAGAUUUGUGAUAUAAUAAUAAUUUCGAGAUGGCGCUUUUGGAUCUCUUCAUUGCCUCAUCAAUUCCAGUCCUAAAAGUGCUCUGGGU